CUAUGGUUAGUGGUUUCACUGGCUGCUUUUGCACAGAUUAUUUUAAAUAUUUUGUAUUUCGCGCCCAGCUUACAAUCAACUCUGAUCUACGUUCGUAAAAUCUUUUGCCAACACUGGUCGUUGCGAUCGUUGGUAUCGAUAGACGGGCUUGAAGCUAUCGAGCUCUAGUUCCGUCUCUAGUGAUCCAAGCGCAAGCGUCACUCCCUUGAUAAAAAUGUAAAAAGUAAACACGUCGUUGCUUACUAAUUGUGCGUGUCAAUGUGCAAUCAUACGUGCCACAAACCGCAAACCAUAACAAAGUUGAGUCACGCGGCGGCGACGAGCGAGAGUGCAAGUAACGUACACUUAUAUAUGUAUUUGUGGGCGUGUGUACGUGUGUAUGCUUAUACUUUAUAUUAAACGCAAAGCUAAAGGGAGAUUUAUAACAUUUUGUUUGCUUAGCACGUAGUGAACGAACGAAACGUUGCAACGUAACAAUAAAUAACGUAAACGUUUACGCGACUGCGACGUCACUCAACCGGCAUUUGUG